rnacentral:tRNA from 1 species
GCUCAAGUAGCUUACCUUAAAGCAUUGUUCUUGUAAACCAAAGCCGGACCAUGUCCCUAGAGCA